GAUGAACGCUGGCGGCGUGCCUAAUACAUGCAAGUCGAGCGAACAGACGAGGCGCUUGCUCCUCUGACGUUAGCGGCGGACGGGUGAGUAACACGUGUAUAACCUACCUAUAAGACUGGGAUAACUUCGGGAAACCGGCGCUAAUACCGGAUAAUAUAUUGAACCGCAUGGUUCAAUAGUGAAAGACGGUUUUGCUGUCUCUUAUAGAUGGAUCCGCGCCGCAUUAGCUAGUUGGUAAGGUAACGGCUUACCAAGGCGACGAUGCGUAGCCGAGCUGAGAGGGUGAUCGGCCACACUGGAACUGAGACGCGGUCCAGACUCCUACGGGAGGCAGCAGUAGGGAAUCUUCCGCAAUGGGCGAAAGCCUGACGGAGCAACGCCGCGUGAGUGAUGAAGGUCUUCGGAUCGUAAAACUCUGUUAUUAGGGAAGAACAAAUGUGUAAGUAACUAUGCACGUCUUGACGGUACCUAAUCAGAAAGCCACGGCUAACUACGUG
rnacentral:rRNA from 1 species